rnacentral:rRNA from 1 species
GUCUAUGGCCAUGCUACCCUGAACACGCCUGAUCCCAUCUGAUCGCAGAAGCUAAGCAGGAUUGGGCCUGGUUAGUACUUGGAUGGGAGACCACCUAGGGAGACCAGAUGCUGUAGGCA